UUGAGUUAGUUAAUUGUGAAAUCCCAAAGCUUAACUUUGGAACUGCAAUUAAAACUGCUCGACUAGAGUUUGAUAGAGGAAAGCGGAAUACAUAGUGUAGAGGUGAAAUUCGUAGAUAUUAUGUAGAACACCAGUUGCGAAGGCGGCUUUCUGGAUCAACACUGACGCUGAGGCGCGAAAGUAUGGGUAGCAAAGAGGAUUAGAUACCCUCGUAGUCCAUACCAUAAACGAUGAUUGCUAGAUGUUGGAAAUUUAUUUUCAGUAUCGCAGCUAACGCAUUAAGCAAUCCGCCUGGGGAGUACGACCGCAAGGUUAAAACUCAAAUGAAUUGACGGGGACCCGCGCAAGCGGUGGAGCAUGUGGUUUAAUUCGAAGAUACGCGCAGAACCUUACCAACCCUUGACAUGUCUGUCGCGAGUUUAGGAAACUAGACUUUUCGGUUCGGCCGGACAGAACACAGGUGCUGCAUGGCUGUCGUCAGCUCGUGUCGUGAGAUGUUGGGUUAAGUCCCGCAACGAGCGCAACCCCUACUUUUAGUUGCCAUCAGGUCAUGCUGGGCACUCUGAAAGAACUGCCAGUGAUAAGCUGGAGGAAGGUGGGGAUGACGUCAAGUCCUCAUGGCCCUUACGGGUUGGGCUACACACGUGCUACAAUGGUAGUGACAAUGAGAUGCAAAGUGGCGACGCUAAGCUAAACUCAAAAAUCUACCUCAGUUCGGAUUGCACUCUGCAACUCGAGUGCAUGAAGCUGGAAUCGCUAGUAAUCGUA
rnacentral:rRNA from 1 species